rnacentral:rRNA from 1 species
UACAGAGGGUGCAAGCGUUAAUCGGAAUUACUGGGCGUAAAGCGCGCGUAGGUGGUUUGUUAAGUUGGAUGUGAAAGCCCCGGGCUCAACCUGGGAAUGGCGAUGGAUACUGGCUCGCUAGAGUGCGGUAGAGGAGAGUGGAAUUCCCGGUGUAGCAGUGAAAUGCGUAGAGAUCGGGAGGAACAUCAGUUGCGGAAGGCGGCUCUCUGGACCAGCACUGACACUGAGGCACGAAAGCGUGGGGAGCAAACAGG